AGCAGCCGCGGUAAUUCCAGCUCCAAUAGCGUAUAUUAAAGUUGUUGCAGUUAAAAAGCUCGUAGUUGAAUUUCGAGAUCAAAUUGUUGGUCGUGCCUUGGUACGCACUGGCAUUAUUGGUUUCUCCCUUCUGACGAACCAUGAUGUCAUUAAUUUGGUGUCUUGGGGAAUCAGGACUGUUACUUUGAAAAAAUUAGAGUGUUUAAAGCAGGCUCACGCUUGAAUACAUUAGCAUGGAAUAAUGAAAUAGGACGUUUGAUUCUAUUUUGUUGGUUUCUAGGAUCGACGUAAUGAUUAAUAGGGAUAGUUGGGGGCAUUAGUAUUCAAUUGUCAGAGGUGAAAUUCUUGGAUUUAUUGAAGACUAACUACUGCGAAAGCAUUUGCCAAGGAUGUUUUCAUUAAUCAAGAACGAAAGUUAGGGGAUCGAAGACGAUCAGAUACCGUCGUAGUCUUAACCAUAAACUAUGCCGACUAGGGAUCGGAUGAUGUUAAUUUUUAUGACUCAUUC
rnacentral:rRNA from 1 species